rnacentral:rRNA from 1 species
GACAGAGGGUGCAAACGUUGUUCGGAAUUACUGGGCGUAAAGCGAGUGUAGGCGGUCUGUAAAGUCGGGUGUGAAAGCCCCGGGCUCAACCCGGGAAGUGCACUCGAAACUCACAGGCUAGAGUAUCGGAGAGGUUGGUGGAAUUCUCGGUGUAGAGGUGAAAUUCGUAGAUAUUAGGAAGAACACCAGUGGCGAAGGCGGCUCACUGGUCCGGUACUGACGCUGAGGUGCGAAAGCGUGGGGAGCAAACAGG